rnacentral:rRNA from 1 species
AUUGAACGCUGGCGGCAUGCUUUACACAUGCAAGUCGAACGGCAGCGCGGGCUUCGGCCUGGCGGCGAGUGGCGAGCGGGUGAGUAAUACAUCGGAACGUGCCCAGUAGUGGGGGAUAGCUCGGCGAAAGCCGGAUUAAUACCGCAUACGACCUGAGGGUGAAAGCGGGGGAUCUUCGGACCUCGCGCUAUUGGAGCGGCCGAUGGCAGAUUAGCUAGUUGGUGGGGUAAAGGCCUACCAAGGCGACGAUCUGUAGCUGGUCUGAGAGGACGACCAGCCACACUGGGACUGAGACACGGCCCAGACUCCUACGGGAGGCAGCAGUGGGGAAUUUUGGACAAUGGGCGAAAGCCUGAUCCAGCAAUGCCGCGUGUGUGAUGAAGGCCUUCGGGUUGUAAAGCACUUUUGGCGGGAACGAAAAGGACUGUGCCAAUACCACGGUUCGAUGACGGUACCCGCAGAAUAAGCACCGGCUAACUACGU